AUGCCUGAGCAGCCGCUGCCAUGGAUGACCUCCUCCACAUGGCCACCGAGCUCGUCCUCACCUGAGAUCACCCUUGGGAGCUCCGUCAUCAUCGGCCACAUCGUCUAUGCCUGCUGGAUUGGACCGAGACGCUGCAUCGGUGACGCAAGCCAUGAUCCCCUCCAUCAGCCAUCGCCUCUGCUCCCCGUCGAUUCGUUCUCCAUCGACCCCCUCCGGCUUCACCAACCGCUGGCUAUGAUGGAGUCUAGGAGCCAGAGGAUCCCGAGGAUGUUUCUACGCAGAGUUCGGCUUCAAGGAGUAGUUAGGAGGUCCCAGGCAGGAGGCCUUGCCUUUUCAAUCGUUGCUACUUUUGUGCUAGCCUUCUUAAGGCAAACUUGUUUAACUUAUGUCUGUACUCAGAUAUUAUUGCUUCCGCUGACUCUUGUGUAUUCGAGCUUAUGUAUUCGACGCCUCGAGGCCACUGGCUUGUAA
rnacentral:rRNA from 1 species